rnacentral:rRNA from 1 species
CGACGUGAGGAACCUGCCUCAAAGAGGGGGACAACAGUUGGAAACGACUGCUAAUACCGCAUAAGCCCACAGCUCGGCAUCGAGCAGAGGGAAAAGGAGUGAUCCGCUUUGAGAUGGCCUCGCGUCCGAUUAGCUAGUUGGUGAGGUGAUGGCCCACCAAGGCGACGAUCGGUAGCCGGACUGAGAGGUUGAACGGCCACAUUGGGACUGAGACACGGCCCAG